GCAGUGGUAAUUCAACAGUAGAAUUCUCACCUUCCAUGUAGGAGACGCUGGUUCAAUUCCUGGCCAGUACA
rnacentral:tRNA from 1 species